CUGAGAAAUGUUUCAUCGUUUGGCAUGGCGGUCCCGCACUAUGUAAAAUAGUCCGCUUCUUUCAGGUAUUUGUGAUAUACGCGUCCACGUUCAUGAUAGUUGCCCUUAGCAUAGAUCGCGUGGAUGCAAUUGCAAGGCCGAUGAAAUUUACACGGAAAGCCACGACAGUCCGGAUAUUGGCGAACGGUGCUUGGAUCAGCUCCGGAAUUCUUUCCAUUCCCUCGUUUCUCCUGUUUGACACUGUCACCCUAAAUGGCGACUC